rnacentral:rRNA from 1 species
CAAUAGCGUAUACUAAUGUUGUUGCAGUUAAAAAGCUCGUAGUUGAACUUCUGGUAGGAGUGUCCCGGCCUUUUUGUUUUUACAAAUUGUAUGCUGUGUGACAUCUCUGGCCAUCCUUCUUCUUUGUUUAAAGAAGAUCUUUCACUGUAAAAAAAUUAGGGUGUUCAAAGCAAAAGUUUCUUUGGAAUAUAUUAGUAUGGGAUGAUAAGAUAGGCUCUAGAUGCUAUUUUGUUGGUUUGCACAUUUAGAGAAUGAUUAACAGGGACAGUUGGGGGUAUUCGUAUUUACAUGUCAGAGGUGAAAUUCUUGGAUUUUGGAAAGACGAACUACUGCGAAAGCAUUUACCAAGGAUGUUUUCAUUAAU